rnacentral:lncRNA from 1 species
UCUUAUUUCUCCCGUGCCGGUCUCCUCUGUGCCGGUCUCCUCCCUUCUGCUUAAUGGAUGAAACAAAGGGGAGAACACCCCACAGAGGGGUUUCUCUCGCCCCAUUUUCCUACCUAAAACCCUACUUACAGGGCCCUUACCUUGAUUAGGUUGAUUGGAGUUGGGCAGUACCUCCUUCUCGGCAAGCUCCCUCCUUCCUCUCCUAGGGCUGCAAGGUCCCUUCCGCCUCCAGCUCCAAGGCUUGGCUCUCUGGUGCAGUAGAUCCAAAGGGUUAGAG